rnacentral:rRNA from 1 species
AUUGAACGCUGGCGGCAGGCCUAACACAUGCAAGUCGAACGGUAACAGGAAACAGCUUGCUGUUUCGCUGACGAGUGGCGGACGGGUGAGUAAUGUCUGGGAAACUGCCUGAUGGAGGGGGAUAACUACUGGAAACGGUAGCUAAUACCGCAUAACGUCGCAAGACCAAAGAGGGGGACCUUCGGGCCUCUUGCCAUCGGAUGUGCCCAGAUGGGAUUAGCUAGUAGGUGGGGUAACGGCUCACCUAGGCGACGAUCCCUAGCUGGUCUGAGAGGAUGACCAGCCACACUGGAACUGAGACACGGUCCAGACUCCUACGGGAGGCAGCAGUGGGGAAUAUUGCACAAUGGGCGCAAGCCUGAUGCAGCCAUGCCGCGUGUAGGAAGAAGGCCUUCGGGUUGUAAAGUACUUUCAUCGGGGAUGAAGGGAGUAUAGUUAAUACCUUUGCUCAUUAACGUUACCCUCAGAAGAAGCACCGGCUAACUCCGUG